rnacentral:rRNA from 1 species
AUUGAACGCUGGCGGCAGGCCUAACACAUGCAAGUCGAACGAGUGGCGGACGGGUGAGUAAUGUCUGGGAAACUGCCUGAUGGAGGGGGAUAACUACUGGAAACGGUAGCUCAUACCGCAUACCAUCAGAUGUGCGCAGAUGGGUUUAGCUAGUUGGUGGGGUAACGGCUCACCAAGGCGACGAUCCCUAGCUGGUCUGAGAGGAUGACCAGCCACACGGGAACUGAGACACGGUCCAGACUCCUACGGGAGGCAGCAGUGGGGAAUAUUGCACAAUGGGCGAAAGUCUGAUGCAGCCAUGCCGAGUGUAUGAAGAAGGCCUUCGGGUUGUAAAGUACUUUCAGCGGUGAGGCGUUACCCGCAGAAGAAGCACCGGCUAACUCCGUGCCAGCAGCCGCGGUAAUUC